ensembl:processed_transcript
GUCGAAAAAAUCACGCACUGCUCAUGCUCUGCUCAUGCUUGCGGUGUGAAACAGGCUUAUGCUAACACAGGCUCAUUUUGUGUUAUGAAUAUACACUCACCUGCCAUUUCAUUAGGUACACCUGUCCAGCUUGUUACGCAAAUAUCUAAUCAGCCAUUCACAUGGCAGCAACUCACAGCAUUUGGGCAUGUAGACAUGGUCAAGACGAUCUGCUGCAGUUUAAAUCAAGCAUUAGAAUGGGGAUGAAAGGUGAUUUAAGUGACUUUGAACGUGGCAUGGUUGUUGGUGCCAUGAAAGGCAACAGUAACUCAAAUAACCACUAGUUGCAACUGAGGUCUGCAGAAGAGCAUCUCCUAACACACAACACAUCCAACCUUGAGGCCAGGGGCGGAUAGGCAACAGCAGGAAAAGACCACACUGGGUGCUGGGGGGUGAGUUAGGACGAAUCUAAGGGCCCAUACAUUUAGGGGAGCCCCUAAAACAUUAUCAAGGGCCCGUGCCGAACCUCACCCCGCUCUUCACUUUUAGACUUUUAGACUUUUAUUUUAAAUGAUGACCUUUCUUUCUUUCUUUCUUUCUUUCUUUCUUUCUUUCUUUCUUUCUUUCUUUCUUUCUUUCUUUCUUUCUUUCUUUCUUUCUUUCUUUCUUUCUUUCUUUCUUUCUUUCUUUCUUUCUUUCUUUCUUUCUUUCUUUCUUUCUU